AAAUUUCUAUUUAUAAAAGUUUAUAGUAAAAUAUAAACAAUUUAUUUAGGAGGCGUUGGGAUAUACUUAUCAAAGAAAACAAUUUUUUUUUUCUUCCUCUUUUGGGUCCUUGGGCUAUUUAGGAUGAGGUUAAAAAAAUAAUUGGAGGGUCCAACUAAAAAUACAAGCCCAUUGGGUCCUUUCAUUUCAACAAACAAAAGACUGAAAAUGCCCAACUAAAAUGCAAGUCCAUUGGGUACUUUCAUUCCCUUAGUUGGGUGCCUAUUAUGAAGAAUUUAAUUCUUAGCCCAACCUGGUCCAGAUAUUUUUAAGGGGUUCGGGUUCGAGCUUCGUUUUUAUUUGAGGUGAGGCUCAAAAUUCAAGUUGGGCAAGCCAAUGGCCGAAUUUAGGUUAAAAAUAAAUUUGGCACAACCCGGGUACAUGGUGAUUAAAUUUUUAGCUUAAAUAUCAAUUACAAUACUUUAACUUAAACAAAUUGAAGGGGAAAAAAAAAGAAAAAGAAAACCCAAUUUGUGUCCCAUAUUAAAUUUUCAAAAAAUUAUUUAUAUUUUAAAUUAUUAUUUAAUAUAAAAAAUAAUUAAAAACACCUAAGAUUUAUUCUAAAAAUAAUAAUUUAUUUUUAAAACAAAAUUUUAAAAAAAAUAAUUAAAAACAUUUUUUAUAUUUUUUAAACAAUUUUUAAAAUUAAAAUGAAAUAAAAAAUAAUUUUUAGAAACACAAGCAGGAAUUGUUUCCAUCUAUAUUUUUUUAAAAAAUAAAAAUAAAAAUAUGGGUAUGUUUGAUUAUGUUUUUUAAAACUUGUUUUUAAGGUAAAGAAUAAAAAAUAGUUUUUAAAAGCAAUUUUCAGAAAAUAUGCCAAACGGGUCGUAAGAUUGCUUAAUUUGGGUUCUUUUAAAAAAGAUGAAAAAUAUUAAAAUUUGGUUUUUAAAUAAUAUAAAGAUUUAUUUAACUAUAGCUUAAAUUUCUUAUUAAAAUAAAAAAAUUAUUUAAAAUUUUAAUAUUCUUAUUCUGGUGAAUAUGUUACAAUGAUAAAUACUUAGAUAUUAUUUUUUAAACUUAUGGUAAUUUUAAAUAACAAUUAACCAAAUUCCUUAAACUACUUUCUAAUUAAAUUUCCCUUUAAUUAAUUAACAACGAUUUUCUAAAAAAAAAUGGUAGUAAUAUUUAUUUAUUAUAAUAUUAAAAUUUUCAUUUAUAAAAGUUUGUAGUAAAAUAUAAACAAUUUAUUUAGGAGGCGUUGGGAUACACUUCUCAAAGAAAACAUUUUUUUUUUCUUUUGGGUCCUUAGGCUGUUUAGGAUGAGGUUAAAAAAAUAAUUGGAGGGCCCAAAUAAAAAUAUAAGCAUUGGGUCCUUUCAUUCCAACAAACAGAAGACUGAAAAAAACUCAACUAAAAUGCUCCAUUGGGUACUUUUAUUCCCUUAGUUGGAUGCCUAUUAUGAGGAAUUUAAUUUUUAGCCCAACUUGACUCAGAUACUUUUAAGGGGUUCAGGUUCGAGCUUUGCUUUUAUUUGAGGUGAGGCCCAAAAUUCAAGUUGGGCAAGUGAAUGGGCUUCAGGUUAAAAAUAAAUUUGGCACAAAUACAUGGUGAUUAAAUUUUUAGCUUAAAUAUCAAUUACAAUACUUUAACUUAAACAAAUUGAAGGAAAAAAAGAAAAAAGAAAAACCAAUUUGUGUCCCAUAUCAAAGUUUUAAAAAAAUUAUUUAUAUUUUAAAAUAUUAUUUAAUAUAAAAA
rnacentral:lncRNA from 1 species